GGUUCACUGAGAGACACACAGAAGCUGUGAAAGAAUGAUGAUCAAAACAAAGAUGAACAACAUGAGGCUGCAGACGAGGGACGUAAUGAUGAAAUGAUGUUUACAUCCCUGAAGCCAGUGGACAACAGACCCGAGUCUGCAUCGAGCCAAUUAAACCCCCCGAAACCACAACUUAUCCCUUUGACACAACCCAAAUAUAUACAUGGUCACAUCUUCUGUCACAGCAGGUCGUCUGAUGCCACAUGAUCUCUGUCCUGAACACAAACAAACUUCUCACGGAGAAGAGGAAGCUCCUCUGGGGGUCCUGUCAGUCCGAUGAGCCAGCGUGACCUUUGCU
ensembl:lncRNA